rnacentral:lncRNA from 1 species
CACAUUUAUUUUAUAAGAGCAGGUCACCAGAAGCCUGUAUUCUUUCUCCUAACUGUUCUAUCAGUGCCAUUCCUUGGAAAGCAAUUCCUUCUGCAAGGACCUUACAUUUCUAAACCUUUUCAUAAGGCCUCAGAUCCAUGCCCUUCCUGAAGCCUAAAGGGGACUAUUAUGGGUUGACUGUGACCCUCCAAAUUCAUAUGUUGAAGUUCUAACCCUCAGUACCUAAGAAUGUGGCUUUAUUUGGAGAUAGGGUCUUUAUAGAAGUAACAGGUUAAAAUGAGGUCGUUAGGGUCUUAAUCCAAUAUGACUGGAUUUUUUCUUCACAAUAAAAAUAAACUCAUGCCAGUGUUCAGUAACCAAUAAUAUCAAUUCAUUCAAAUUUAAUGACAGUUUUAUUAAACUAAGAAUCUCAUGUCACAGAGCAUUCACAGUGCAGGAGGUCACAGUUAUUGAAAAAAUAAAUAGCGGGAUAAAUAUACUCAUUAUUUACAACUUUUCAACUCGAUGAUCCUGCUUUGCCCAUUAGAGAGAGAAUGAACAAAGAUGGUGGUGUUCAGCUCAGCAUGCCAGAACGAUCUUGGGGUGACUCGAACAAUGUGUGAACAGCCCCAGAAGUUCUUGGUUUUAGUUGUUUUUAAGGAGGUUCUUUCAGGACACAAGAAUCCUUAUAAAAAGGAGAAAACUGGACAUGCAGGGAGAACCUGGGCAAAGAUGAAGACAGCCAAGGGCAGAGAGGCAAGAGGGGCCUGGGACAGACUCUCCUUCAGGCUUCUGGCCUCCGGAACCACAAGACAAUACACUUCCGUUGUUUACGGCACCCCGUUUGUGGGAACGAAGCCUAGCAGAUGCAUGCGGGCCCUUCAUGAUCUCUCCUGCCAGGCUUGUCAGCUGAUGUUCUAUGAGGACUCCCGGCCACUGCGCCUCACUUCAUGUUCCCAGCUACCCUGGGCUGGAGGCCGGAGUGGGGCAUAACCUCGCGUGACAGAAGAUGAAACUGAGGCUUGGGAUGUGCCCAAGGGCACAGUUUGCAGGCGGCCCAAGGUCCCCUGGUACAGCAUCCUUUUUACCAAGCCUUGAAGCAUAUUUGGGACCCAGGCAACAGCACCCACGACCCUGCCUGGGAAUCACAGGAUAUCGGAUUGUAUGCUCUGGUAGUUUCUGAAGGGUGAGCUCUCUUUCCCCAACCAGGCUAGAAGCACAUCAGAGGCUGGGGCCCAUGUCCUCGUCCUUCCCCUUCCUGUCCAGCUGUCCAGUAUCCAGCUAGCCACACAAUCAGGAAGUUAGUAACUGGAGAGGCAUAUAAUUAAGAAAGCAAACUUUUGUAAGUAAGACUCGUACUGGCUGGAAUCUGCCCUAACCCGGCCACUGAGCCAUACUUCCACACCACUGUCCUAACCUGGCACACAUACACAUGUUUUUGGAAUGAACAAACCUGAAACGCACAUGCCUAGAACCACAACAUUGCUUUGGUAGCUGGCACAUACGGCAGGCAACUCAGAUCGGCACCCACACAGGUGGCCCAUCUCUGUUCGACUGCCAGCCCGCCCAUGUUGCAUAGCUAGGUCACCUCCUCCUCCCCUGCUUGUUGCUGUCAUCUGUUGGCCCCUUACACUCCUCCUCCCAGCCUGCCCCAGGCACUUUUCUGAGUGACUUCAAAAUCUCUUAGCUUAGUCCUGUUAGGAGUGGCGUCUCUGGGAACCUGGACUUCUGGUCUGUCAGUGUCCGGUAAGAUGCGGGAACAUGCAGCAACUGUUGUGGCCCAGUUAGUUGCACCUGGUGAAGAGGCAGGCACUCCGGCAGGUCAGGAGGGUAGGAAGGUGCCUGAGUUUGCAGAGGAGGGGAUGAGCGGGUCUCAGGUUUGGUGGACUUCCCGCUCUGCACAAACGGGGCUGCCGGCAGCUGUGUGAGCCUUUGAGGACUUCUAGGGCAGUGCGACUCAAAUUUUAGUGAGAACAGGAAUCACCUGGGGGUCUUGUGAAAAUGCAGAUUCUGAUUCAGUGGGUCUGGGGCACAGCUUGGGAGUCUGCAUUUCUCAUCAGCUCCCAGGUCAAGCCGAUGCUCGGGGCUAGGACCAUGCUAUGUGCUGCGGGCCUGGAGGGAGGCCAGGAUAUGGUGCCUCGGGUUAGAGCACGUGCUGCACAGCCUCCUGGUUUGUACAGCAGGCUCUGAACAGGGGUUCCUGGAUCUUUUGUCAUCAGGAAGCUAUUUUUUUUUUCUUUUUGAGACGAAGUCUCCCUCUGUCGCCUAGGCUGGAGUGCAGUGGUUCACUGUAACAUCUGCCUCCUGGGUUCAAGCAAUUCUCCUGCCUCAGCCUCCCGAGUAGCUGCAAUUACAGGUGUGCACCACCACGCCUGGCUAAUUUUUUUUAUUUUUAGUAGAGACGGGGUUUCACCAUGUUGGCCAGGCUGGUCUCAAACUCCUGACCUCAGGUGAUCCGCCCACCUCGACCUCCCAAAGUGCUGGGAUUACAGGUAUGACCCACCGCGCCCAGCCAGGAAGCUAUUUUUAACCAUGUUUGUUGGAGUCCCUGUCAAUCAUAUCAAUGUUACCCUGAGGACUAUUACGCAACCCCCGCCCCUGGCCUCACCCUUCCUCAGUUUCUGUACUUCCACAUUUCGCUGUAGCCACUCUGAGAUGAUGUGCUGCUUCAGAGCCCCAUCUGUCCCUUGGUCCUAACAGAGACCCUUUGUUGAUCUUACUGGGACACUCCCCACUCCUGCAAGCCCUUAAACUUCCAGCAUCCUAACACCCCUCCCUAGCCUGAACUCCAGGGCCAGUUGUUUAAACUGCACAUUUCCUUGUCCCUUGACCUUCCACUGUGUCCACCCAGCUGACUCUGGCUAGGGAUGAACUUGUCAUCUGUGCACCGCUGGCGCUGGCAUGACUGAAUCCCACCAAGUUCAUGUCGCUGAACAUCGGCCAGGGCCCCGGUGCUCACCAGCUUUCCUUGUACUCACUGUACUGGGCUGAGUACCCUGCCCCCAUUCAUGUCCAUCUGGAACCUGUGAAUGUGACUUUAUUUGGAAAUAGGGUCUCUGAGGAUGUACUCAAAUUAAGGUAAGGUCAUACUAAAUUAGAGUGAGUUCUAAUCUGAUGACUGGUCUCCUUAUAGGAAGGAGGAAGUCUGCUGGGUGCAGUGGCUCAUGCUGGUAAUCCCAGCACUUUGGGAGGCUGAGACAGGUGGAUCACUUGAGGUCAGGAG